rnacentral:rRNA from 1 species
GACGAACGCUGGCGGCGUGCUUAACACAUGCAAGUCGAGCGGAGCGGCGAACGGGUGAGUAACGCGUGAGUAACUGCCCCCCUCUCUGGGAUAACAGUUGGAAACGGCUGCUCAUACAGGCUAGUGGGGGAUGAUUCGCGUCCUACCAGCUUGUUGGUGGGGUAGUGGCCUACCAAGGCGACGACGGGUAGCCGGCCUGAGAGGGCGACCAGCCACAUUGGUCUGAGAUACGGCCCAGACUCAUACGGGAGGCAGCAGUGGGGAGUAUUGCACAAAAGGGGAAACCCUGAUGCAGCAACGCGCGUGCGGAAUGACGGCCUUCGGGUUGUAAACCGCUUUCAGCCAUGACGCGGUAGUGGCAGAGAAAGCACCGGCUAACUACGUGCCAGCCGCCGCGGUAAUUC